CAGUCGCCGCGGGAAUACGUAGGGUGCGAGCGUUAAUCGGAAUUACUGGGCGUAAAGCGUGCGCAGGCGGUUUUGUAAGACAGGCGUGAAAUCCCCGGGCUCAACCUGGGAAUGGCGCUUGUGACUGCAAAGCUAGAGUGCGGCAGAGGGGGAUGGAAUUCCGCGUGUAGCAGUGAAAUGCGUAGAUAUGCGGAGGAACACCGAUGGCGAAGGCAAUCCCCUGGGCCUGCACUGACGCUCAUGCACGAAAGCGUGGGGAGCAAACAGGAUUAGAGACCCCUGUAGUCCCUGUCUCUUAUAC
rnacentral:rRNA from 1 species